rnacentral:rRNA from 1 species
CCCUUAGAUGUUCUGGGCUGCACGCGCGCUACACUGAAGCGUUCAACGAGUAUUCACCUUGCCCGGGAGGGUUGGGUAAUCUUUUGAAAACGCUUCGUGAUGGGGAUAGAUUAUUGCAAUUAUUAAUCUUCAACGAGGAAUUCCUAGUAAGCGCGAGUCAUCAGCUCGUGCUGAUUACGUCCCUGCCCUUUGUACACACCGCCCGGCGCUCCUACCGAUUGAGUGAUCCGGUGAAUAAUUCGGACUGCAGCACUGCUUGGUCUCCAGGCUUUGCAGCGGAAAGUUUAGUGAACCUUAUCACUUAGAGGAAGGAGAAGUCGUAACA